rnacentral:rRNA from 1 species
AGAGUUUGAUCCUGGCUCAGGACGAACGCUGGCGGCGCGCCUAACACAUGCAAGUCGAACGAGCGAGAGAGAGCUUGCUUUCUCGAGCGAGUGGCGAACGGGUGAGUAACGCGUGAGGAACCUGCCUCAAAGAGGGGGACAACAGUUGGAAACGACUGCUAAUACCGCAUAAGCCCACGGCUCGGCAUCGAGCAGAGGGAAAAGGAGCAAUCCGCUUUGAGAUGGCCUCGCGUCCGAUUAGCUAGUUGGUGAGGUAAUGGCCCACCAAGGCGACGAUCGGUAGCCGGACUGAGAGGUUGAACGGCCACAUUGGGACUGAGACACGGCCCAGACUCCUACGGGAGGCAGCAGUGGGGAAUAUUGCACAAUGGGGGAAACCCUGAUGCAGCGACGCCGCGUGGAGGAAGAAGGUCUUCGGAUUGUAAACUCCUGUUGUUGGGGAAGAUAAUGACGGUACCCAACAAGGAAGUGACGGCUAACUACGUGCCAGCAGCCGCGGUAAAACGUAGGUCACAAGCGUUGUCCGGAAUUACUGGGUGUAAAGGGAGCGCAGGCGGGAAGACAAGUUGGAAGUGAAAUCUAUGGGCUCAACCCAUAAACUGCUUUCAAAACUGUUUUUCUUGAGUAGUGCAGAGGUAGGCGGAAUUCCCGGUGUAGCGGUGGAAUGCGUAGAUAUCGGGAGGAACACCAGUGGCGAAGGCGGCCUACUGGGCACCAACUGACGCUGAGGCUCGAAAGUGUGGGUAGCAAACAGGAUUAGAUACCCUGGUAGUCCACACCGUAAACGAUGAUUACUAGGUGUUGGAGGAUUGACCCCUUCAGUGCCGCAGUUAACACAAUAAGUAAUCCACCUGGGGAGUACGACCGCAAGGUUGAAACUCAAAGGAAUUGACGGGGGCCCGCACAA